GACGAACGCUGGCGGCGUGGAUUAGGCAUGCAAGUCGAACGGUAGGAUACCUUCGGGUAUCUGAGAGUGGCGAACGGGUGAGUAACACGUAGGUGAUCUACCCUCAAGAUUGGGACAACCCAGGGAAACUUGGGCUAAUACCGGAUGAAAGCAGCAGUGAUGUUGUUUGAAAGGUGGCGUAAGCUGCCGUUUGGGGAUGAGCCUGCGCUCUAUUAGUUAGUUGGCGGGGUAAAGGCCCACCAAGGCGAUGAUAGAUAGGCGGCCUUAACGGGUGGUCGCCCACACUGGGAUUGAGAUACGGCCCAGACUCCUACGGGAGGCAGCAGUCGAGAAUAGUCUACAAUGGCCGAAAGGCUGAUAGUGCGACGCCGCGUGAACGAAGAAGCCCUUCGGGGUGUAAAGUUCUUUUAUAUGUGAGCAGUGCUUUCUAUGUGAACAGCAUGGGGAGAGAGAUAUUAGCAUAUGAAUAAGCAACGGUUCAACUCCGUGCCAGCAGCCG
rnacentral:rRNA from 1 species